AGUCCAGCGCCCGCCGCCCGCCACCCCGGACCCCGGUGUCUGGCUUCCCCCGAGCCGGGACCCCGCGAUGGCCAAGCGCAGCUCGCUGUACAUCCGCAUCGUGGAGGGGAAGAACCUUCCCGCCAAGGACAUCACUGGCAGCAGCGACCCCUACUGCAUCGUGAAGGUGGACAAUGAGCCCAUCAUCAGGACAGCCACAGUGUGGAAGACCCUGUGCCCCUUCUGGGGUGAGGAGUACCAAGUGCACCUGCCGCCCACCUUCCACGCUGUGGCUUUCUAUGUCAUGGAUGAGGAUGCCCUCAGGUGAGUGCCCCCCUCUCCAGCUGGGACCCAGACCUGGCCAUCUGAUUGCUCCCUGGCCCAUUUCACCACCAGGACUCCUGGGUCCUUUUUGGCAUCCUCUUUGCAGCCUGGAGGGAGGCAGAGCCUGGGGGCCUGGGAGGGCGAAAAGCUUGAGCGUGUGGGUGUGCACAUGCGUGGCUCCAUGGUGCAUGCGCCACAUACACACGUGUGUGUGCAGGCAUGCAGGCACAAGUGUGCAUGGACUACACGUGUGCGUGCAGGUGUGA
rnacentral:lncRNA from 10 species